AAUGGCGAANCCUGAUGCAGCANCGCCGCGUGCGGGAUGACGGCCUUCGGGUUGUAAACCGCUUUCAGCUCCGACGAAGCGCAAGUGACGGUAGGAGCAGAAGAAGGACCGGCCAACUACGUGCCAGCAGCCGCGGUGAUACGUAGGGUCCGAGCGUUGUCCGGAAUUAUUGGGCGUAAAGGGCUUGUAGGCGGUUUGUCACGUCGGAAGUGAAAACUCAGGGCUUAACCCUGAGCCUGCUUCCGAUACGGGCAAACUAGAGGAAUGCAGGGGAGAAUGGAAUUCCUGGUGGAGCGGUGGAAUGCGCAGAUAUCAGGAGGAACACCAGUGGCGAAGGCGGUUCUCUGGGCAUUUCCUGACGCUGAGAAGCGAAAGCGUGGGGAGCAAACAGGCUUAGAUACCCUGGUAGUCCACGCCGUAAACGGUGGGCACUAGGUGUGGGACUCAUUCCACGAGUUCCGUGCCGUAGCUAACGCAUUAAGUGCCCCGCCUGGGGAGUACGGCCGCAAGGCUAAAACUCAAAGGAAUUGACGGGGGCCCGCACAAGCGGCGGAGCAUGCGGAUUAAUUCGAUGCAACGCGAAGAACCUUACCUGGGUUUGACAUAUGCCGGAAAGCUGCAGAGAUGUAGCCCCCGCAAGGUCGGUAUACAGGUGGUGCAUGGCUGUCGUCAGCUCGUGUCGUGAGAUGUUGGGUUAAGUCCCGCAACGAGCGCAACCCUCGUCCUAUGUUGCCAGCGGGUAAUGCCGGGGACUCAUAGGAGACUGCCGGGGUCAACUCGGAGGAAGGUGGGGAUGACGUCAAGUCAUCAUGCCCCUUAAGUCCAGGGCUUCACGCAUGCUACAAUGGCUGGUACAAAGGGCUGCAAUACCGCAAGGUUGAGCGAAUCCCAAAAAGCCAGUCUCAGUUCG
rnacentral:rRNA from 1 species